UAGUAACGGCGAGUGAAGAGGGAAAGCUCAAAUUUUGAAUCUGGUGUCUUUGGCGCCCGAGUUGUAAUCUAGAGAAGUGUUUUCUGCCUUGGACCACACAUAGAUUCCCUGGAAUGGGGUGUCAUAGAGGGUGAGAAUCCCGUAUGUGGUGUGGACUACCUUGGCUCUGUGAUACACUCUCAACGAGUCGAGUUGUUUGGGAAUGCAGCUCAAAAUGGGUGGUAAAUUCCAUCUAAAGCUAAAUAUUGGCGAGAGACCGAUAGCGAACAAGUACCGUGAGGGAAAGAUGAAAAGCACUUUGGAAAGAGAGUGAAACAGUACGUGAAAUUGUUGAAAGGGAAGCUUUGAAGUCAGUCACAUCGGUCGGAACUCAGCCUGGCUUUGCCUGGUGUACUUUCUGGCAGAUGGGUCAGCGUCAAUUUCGACUGAGGGAAAAAGACUUGAGGAAUGUGGCUGUCCUCGGGCAGUGUUAUAGCCUCUUGUUGUAUGUCUCAGUUGGGAUUGAGGACCGCAGCACGCCUUAUGGCCGGGGUUCUCGCCCUCGGAACGUGCUUAGUA
rnacentral:rRNA from 1 species